rnacentral:rRNA from 1 species
GAAGAACCUUACCUACCCUUGACAUGCCAGGAAUCCUGUAGAGAUAUGGGAGUGCUCGAAAGAGAACCUGGACACAGGUGCUGCAUGGCUGUCGUCAGCUCGUGUCGUGAGAUGUUGGGUUAAGUCCCGCAACGAGCGCAACCCUUGUCAUUAGUUGCCAUCAUUCAGUUGGGCACUCUAAUGAGACUGCCGGUGACAAACCGGAGGAAGGUGGGGAUGACGUCAAGUCCUCAUGGCCCUUAUGGGUAGGGCUUCACACGUCAUACAAUGGUCGGUACAAAGGGUUGCCAAGCCGCGAGGUGGAGCCAAUCCCGAAAAGCCGAUCGUAGUCCGGAUCGGAGUCUGCAACUCGACUCCGUGAAGUCGGAAUCGGUAGUA